UACGGAGGGUGCGAGCGUUGUCCGGAAUCACUGGGCGUAAAGGGCGCGUAGGCGGCCUGAUAAGUAGGGGGUGAAAUCUUGCGGCUUAACCGCAAGGCUGCCUUCUAAACUGUCGGGCUAGAGCACAGUAGAGGCAGGUGGAAUUCCCGGUGUAGCUGUGGAAUGCGUAGAUAUCUGGAGGAAUACCGGUGGCGAAGGCGGCGUUCUGGACUGCAACUGACACUGAGGAACGAAAGCCAGGGGAGCAAACGGG
rnacentral:rRNA from 1 species